rnacentral:siRNA from 1 species
UGCUGUGGUUUCGGGUCUGGA